CCUACGGGUGGCAGCAGUGAGGAAUAUUGGUCAAUGGGCGCGAGCCUGAACCAGCCAAGUAGCGUGAAGGAUGACUGCCCUACGGGUUGUAAACUUCUUUUAUCAGGGAAUAAAGUGAGGCACGUGUGCCUUUUUGUAUGUACUUUAUGAAUAAGGAUCGGCUAACUCCGUGCCAGCAGCCGCGGUAAUCAGGAGGAUCCGAGCGUUAUCCGGAUUUAUUUGGUUUAAAGGGAGCGUAGAUGGGUUGUUAAGUCAGUUGUGAAAGUUUGGGGGUGAACCGGAAAAUUGCAAUUGAUACUGGCAGUCUUGAGUACAGUUGAGGUAGGCGGAAUUCGUGGUGUAGCGGUGAAAUGCUUAGAUAUCACGAAGAACUCCGAUUGCGAAGGCAGCUUACUAAACUGCCACUGACAUUGAUGCUCGAAAGUGUGGGUAUCAAACAGGAUUAGAUACCCCAGUAGUC
rnacentral:rRNA from 1 species